rnacentral:rRNA from 1 species
AACCAGACUCCUACGGGAGGCAGCAGUGGGGAAUAUUGGUCAAUGGGCGCGAGCCUGAACCAGCCAAGUCGCGUGAGGGAGGACGGCCCUACGGGUUGUAAACCUCUUUUGCCGGGGAGCAACGGGCGUCACGUGUGGCGCCACUGAGAGUACCCGGAGAAAAAGCAUCGGCUAACUCCGUGCCAGCAGCCGCGGUAAUACGUAGGGAGCGAGCGUUAUCCGGAUUUAUUGGGUGUAAAGGGUGCGUAGACGGGGAAUUAAGUUAGUUGUGAAAUCCCAAGGCUCAACUUUGGAACUGCAACUAAAACUAAUUUUCUUGAGUACUGGAGAGGAAAGUGGAAUUCCUAGUGUAGCGGUGAAAUGCGUAGAUAUUAGGAGGAACACCAGUGGCGAAGGCGACUUUCUGGACAGAAACUGACGUUGAGGCACGAAAGUGUGGGGAGCAAACAGGAUUAGAUACCCGCGUAUA